CAAGACAACUUUACGGAGUUGACGAUUGACGGAGCGAAGCGACGUCAAAGCGUUCAUUAAAGUCGAGUUGGCUUAGGGAUACGUUCGUUGGGUAGGGGAGCGUUCUGUAAGCCUGUGAAGGUGUGUCGUGAGGCAUGCUGGAGGUAUCAGAAGUGCGAAUGCUGACAUAAGUAACGAUAAAGCGGGUGAAAAGCCCGCUCGCCGGAAGACCAAGGGUUCCUGUCCAACGUUAAUCGGGGCAGGGUGAGUCGACCCCUAAGGCGAGGCCGAAAGGCGUAGUCGAUGGGAAACGGGUUAAUAUUCCCGUACUUGGUGUUACUGCGAAGGGGGGACGGAGAAGGCUAUGUUGGCCGGGCGACGGUUGUCCCGGUUUAAGCGUGUAGGUGUGUGUUCCAGGUAAAUCCGGUUCACUUUAACACUGAGGCGUGAUGACGAGGCACUACGGUGCUGAAGCAACAAAUGCCCUGCUUCCAGGAAAAGCCUCUAAGCAUCAGGUAACAUCAAAUCGUACCCCAAACCGACACAGGUGGUCAGGUAGA
rnacentral:rRNA from 1 species